UACGUAGGGGGCUAGCGUUGUCCGGAUUUAUUGGGCGUAAAGAGCGUGUAGGCGGCCAUGUAGGUCUGCUGUGAAAACUCGAGGCUCAACCUCGAGACGUCGGCGGAAACCAUCUGGCUAGAGUCCGGAAGAGGAGAGUGGAAUUCCUGGUGUAGCGUUGAAAUGCGCAGAUAUCAGGAAGAACACCCGUGGCGAAGGCGGCUCUCUGGGACGGUACUGACGCUGCGACGCGAAAGCGUGGGGAGCGAACAGG
rnacentral:rRNA from 1 species